AGCUUUCGCAGUGGCAUUAUCGUAACGCAAUGAGGUUUAUCCGAUGUGCGAAUUUGCUAUUUGAAAAACAUUUUCCCAAUACCCUGCCUAGUCGACGUGAAAUAUCGCGGCUAAGGCAAUUUUUGUUAGCCCAUUCAAGGC